rnacentral:rRNA from 1 species
GAUGAACGCUGGCGGCGUGCCUAAUACAUGCAAGUCGAACGAAACUUCUUUAUCACCGAGUGCUUGCACUCACCGAUAAAGAGUUGAGUGGCGAACGGGUGAGUAACACGUGGGCAACCUGCCCAAAAGAGGGGGAUAACACUUGGACACAGGUGCUAAUACCGCAUAACCAUAGUUACCGCAUGGUAACUAUGUAAAAGGUGGCUAUACUACCGCUUUUGGAUGGGCCCGCGGCGCAUUAGCUAGUUGGUAGGGUAAAGGCUUACCAAGGCAAUGAUGCGUAGCCGAAUUGAGAGGUUGAUCGGACACAUUGGGACUGAGACACGGCCCAAACUCCUACGGGAGGCAGCAGUAGGGAAUCUUCCACAAUGGGCGAAAGCCUGAUGGAGCAACGCCGCGUGGGUGAAGAAGGUCUUCGGAUCGUAAAACCCUGUUGUUAGAGAAGAAAGUGCGUGAGAGUAACUGUUCACGUUUCGACGGUAUCUAACCAGAAAGCCACGGCUAACUACGUG